rnacentral:rRNA from 1 species
GACGAACCGAGCGAACGUUGUUCGGAAUCACUGGGCUUAAAGGGCGCGUAGGCGGGUGCUCAAGUCCGGGGUGAAAUCCCACAGCUCAACUGUGGAACUGCCUCGGAUACUGGGUGCCUCGAGGGUGGUAGGGGUAUGCGGAACUAUCGGUGGAGCGGUGAAAUGCGUUGAUAUCGAUAGGAACUCCGGUGGCGAAGGCGGCAUACUGGACCACAUCUGACGCUGAGGCGCGAAAGCCAGGGGAGCAAACGGG